GCCGUAGAGAUACGGUGUCCUUCGGGGCCCUCCACAGGUGGUGCAUGGCUGUCGUCAGCUCGUGUCGUGAGAUGUUGGGUUAAGUCCCGCAACGAGCGCAACCCUUGCCCUAUGUUGCCAGCGGAUCAUGCCGGGGACUCGUAGGGGACUGCCGGAGUUAAUUCGGAGGAAGGUGGGGACGACGUCAAGUCAUCAUGCCCCUUACGUCCAGGGCUGCACGCAUGCUACAAUGGCCGGUACAAAGGGUUGCCAACCCGCGAGGGGGAGCCAAUCCCAAAAAACCGGUCUCAGUUCGGAUCGCAGUCUGCAACUCGACUGCGUGAAGUCGGAGUCGCUAGUAAUCCCGGAUCAGCACGCCGGGGUGAAUACGUUCCCGGGCCUUGUACACACCGCCCGU
rnacentral:rRNA from 1 species